rnacentral:tRNA from 1 species
GUCUGGGUGGCUCAGUCUGUUGAGCAUCUGACUUUGGCUCAGGUCAUGAUCUCACAGUUCAUGGGUUCGAGCCCCAUGUCAGGCU